UGGUGUGGCUCAAUGGCAGAGCAGCUGACUUGUAAUCAGCAGGUUGUUGGUUCGACUCCGAUCACC
rnacentral:tRNA from 1 species